rnacentral:rRNA from 1 species
CCUACGGGUGGCAGCAGUAGGGAAUCUUCCACAAUGGGCGAAAGCCUGAUGGAGCAACGCCGCGUGGGUGAAGAAGGUCUUCGGAUCGUAAAACCCUGUUGUUAGAGAAGAAAGUGCGUGAGAGUAACUGUUCACGUCUCGACGGUAUCUAACCAGAAAGCCACGGCCCACUACGUGCCAGCAGCCGCGGGAAUACGUAGGUGGCAAGCGUUAUCCGGAUUUAGUGGGCGGAAAGGGAACGCAGGCGGUCUUUUAAGUCUGAUGUGAAAGCCUUCGGCUUAACCGGGGUAGUGCAUUGGAGACUGGGAGACUUGAGUGCAGGAGAGGGGAGUGGAACUCCAUGUGGAGCGGUGAAAUGCGUAGAUAUAUGGAAGAACACCAGUGGCGAAGGCGGCUCUCUGGUCUGUAACUGACGCUGAGGUUCGAAAGCGUGGGUAGCAAACAGGAUUAGAUACCCCAGUAGUC